rnacentral:rRNA from 1 species
CUAUACAUGCAGUCGAGCGGACAGAUGGGAGCUUGCUCCCUGAUGUUAGCGGCGGACGGGUGAGUAACACGUGGGUAACCUGCCUGUAAGACUGGGAUAACUCCGGGAAACCGGGGCUAAUACCGGAUGGUUGUUUGAACCGCAUGGUUCAAACAUAAAAGGUGGCUUCGGCUACCACUUACAGAUGGACCCGCGGCGCAUUAGCUAGUUGGUGAGGUAACGGCUCACCAAGGCAACGAUGCGUAGCCGACCUGAGAGGGUGAUCGGCCACACUGGGACUGAGACACGGCCCAGACUCCUACGGGAGGCAGCAGUAGGGAAUCUUCCGCAAUGGACGAAAGUCUGACGGAGCAACGCCGCGUGAGUGAUGAAGGUUUUCGGAUCGUAAAGCUCUGUUGUUAGGGAAGAACAAGUACCGUUCGAAUAGGGCGGUACCUUGACGGUACCUAACCAGAAAGCCACGGCUAACUACGUGCCAGCAGCCGCGGUAAUACGUAGGUGGCAAGCGUUGUCCGGAAUUAUUGGGCGUAAAGGGCUCGCAGGCGGUUUCUUAAGUCUGAUGUGAAAGCCCCCGGCUCAACCGGGGAGGGUCAUUGGAAACUGGGGAACUUGAGUGCAGAAGAGGAGAGUGGAAUUCCACGUGUAGCGGUGAAAUGCGUAGAGAUGUGGAGGAACACCAGUGGCGAAGGCGACUCUCUGGUCUGUAACUGACGCUGAGGAGCGAAAGCGUGGGGAGCGAACAGGAUUAGAUACCCUGGUAGUCCACGCCGUAAACGAUGAGUGCUAAGUGUUAGGGGGUUUCCGCCCCUUAGUGCUGCAGCUAACGCAUUAAGCACUCCGCCUGGGGAGUACGGUCGCAAGACUGAAACUCAAAGGAAUUGACGGGGGCCCGCACAAGCGGUGGAGCAUGUGGUUUAAUUCGAAGCAACGCGAAGAACCUUACCAGGUCUUGACAUCCUCUGACAAUCCUAGAGAUAGGACGUCCCCUUCGGGGGCAGAGUGACAGGUGGUGCAUGGUUGUCGUCAGCUCGUGUCGUGAGAUGUUGGGUUAAGUCCCGCAACGAGCGCAACCCUUGAUCUUAGUUGCCAGCAUUCAGUUGGGCACUCUAAGGUGACUGCCGGUGACAAACCGGAGGAAGGUGGGAUGACGUCAAAUCAUCAUGCCCCUUAUGACCUGGGCUACCCCGUGCUACAUGGACAGACCAAGGGCACCGAAACCGCGAAGUUAACCAAUCCCACAAUCUGUUCCAGUUCGGAUCGAAUCUGCACCCCACUGGGGGAAACUGGAAACCCUAAAUACCCCGAAAAAUGCCCGGGGGAAAUUUCGGGGCUUUUCACCCCCCCCCCCCCCCAAAAUUUUUAACCCCCAAAGCGGGGGGAAACUUUUA